rnacentral:rRNA from 1 species
GCAAGUCGAACGAGAAAGCCCUUCGGGGUGAGUAGAGUGGCGCACGGGUGAGUAAUGCCUAGGAACGUACCUUUUGGUGGGGGAUAACCACGGGAAACUGUGGCUAAUACCGCAUGAUCUCGCAAGAGCAAAGAUGGCCUCUGCUUGCAAGCUAUCGCCUAAAGAGCGGCCUAGGUCCCAUUAGCUUGUUGGUAGGGUAAAGGCCUACCAAGGCUACGAUGGGUAGCUGGUCUGAGAGGAUGAUC